rnacentral:rRNA from 1 species
UACAGAGGGUGCGAGCGUUGUCCGGAAUCACUGGGCGUAAAGGGCGCGUAGGCGGCUCGGUCAGCGUGCGGUGAAAGCCCGGGGCUCAACCCCGGGUCGGCCGUGCGAACUGCUGGGCUGGAGCACUGUAGAGGCAGGUGGAAUUCCGGGUGUAGCGGUGGAAUGCGUAGAGAUCCGGGGGGAACACCGAUGGCGAAGGCACCGCUCUGGCCGACGACCGACGCUGAGGCGCGAAAGCUGGGGGAGCGAACGGG